UGCUGUCUUCGGAGAGAAGAAAAUGGAGCAGAGAGGAAAGAUGGCUAGUAAAAGAACAACAAAUAGAAAAGGUGGCCUCAAGGAUUCUGAGACCCACGACUACAGAUACCUACAUGUGGCUGACCUGGAGAAAAAGCGUAACUGGGAAGGCUUUGAGGACUAGCAAAGGCCUACUUCCACCCAGCUUCCUGUUCGGAAAAGAAGCUCCCAGCUAACAAAGUAGGGUACCAGUGCACAGGGAAGUCCAGUAGGCCCUCAUCCAUUCUUCCCCCACCUUGCCAGGAAGAUCACCACUUCUCUCUCAGGAAGAUGGAGCAAUGAAGAGAAGCACAUUUUAUUUCCAGCAGAAGAUGGACCGCUGCCUGCUAAAUUGUUCCUGUAUGUGUGGGAUUUUGCUUUGUAUUUAAAAAAAUUUCCUGCAAGCCACCUUGAAGAUGUUUUGAUCAAAAGGUGAGAUAUAUAUUUCCAGC